rnacentral:rRNA from 1 species
CCCUUAGAUGUUCUGGGCCGCACGCGCGCUACACUGACGAAGUCAGCGAGCAUCUCCUACGCCGAAAGGUGCGGGGAAUCUUGUGAAACUUUGUCGUGCUGGGGAUUGAUUUUUGAAAUUCUUGAUCAUAAACGAGGAAUUCCUAGUAAGCGCAAGUCAGCAGCUUGCGUUGAUUACGUCCCUGCCCUUUGUACACACCGCCCGUCGCUGCUACCGAUUGAAUGGUUUAGUGAGAUGUUUGGACCGGAACUCUCUUGCUCAGCAAUGGGCGAGAGAGAGUCUGGGAAGUCCCUCUAACUGUAUCAUUUAGAGGAAGUAAAAGUCGUAACA